rnacentral:rRNA from 1 species
UUCCUACGGGAGGCAGCAGUGAGGAAUAUUGGUCAAUGGCCGAGAGGCUGAACCAGCCAAGUCGCGUGAGGGAAGACGGCCCUACGGGUUGUAAACCUCUUUUGUCGGGGAGCAAAGCGAGUCACGUGUGACUCAUUGAGAGUACCCGAAGAAAAAGCAUCGGCUAACUCCGUGCCAGCAGCCGCGGUAAUACGGAGGAUGCGAGCGUUAUCCGGAUUUAUUGGGUUUAAAGGGUGCGUAGGCGGACUGUCAAGUCAGCGGUAAAAUACGGGGGCUCAACCUCCGCCCGCCGUUGAAACUGACGG